rnacentral:rRNA from 1 species
GCUUGUCUCAAAGAUUAAGCCAUGCAUGUCUAAGUAUAAACGACUUUAUACUGUGAAACUGCGAAUGGCUCAUUAUAUCAGUUAUAGUUUAUUUGAUGGUCCUUGCUACUUGGAUAACCGUAGUAAUUCUAGAGCUAAUACAUGCAUCAAACCCCGACUUCUGGAAGGGGUGUAUUUAUUAGAUGGAAACCAAUGCAGGGCAACCUGGAAUAUGGUGAUUCAUAAUAACUCGCGGAUCGGUUUACCGAUGCAUCAUUCAAGUUUCUGCCCUAUCAGCUUUGGAUGGUAGGGUAUUGGCCUACCAUGGCUUUAACGGGUAACGGAGAAUUAGGGUUCGAUUCCGGAGAGGGAGCCUGAGAAAUGGCUACCACAUCCAAGGAAGGCAGCAGG